UCCAUGAUACAUGUUCAAUGUGGGAGAAUGUUAGAACAUAAACGAUUGAACUCGAUUGGAUGUGAAAGGAAUAGAUGAGUUGGGCUGAAUCAGAAAUCUGAGAGGGUCUGAUUCACAGAGUGCGUGUUAUUCGGGUUCAGGGAUCAUCCGAAAUGAUUUUGACUCGUCCUGCAUAUAUUAGAUUCGACCUGCAUAGAUUGGACAUGACCAAUAAAAUUAAUCAAACUUGAAUUACUUCUAAUAAUUUAUUAAAAUGCAAUGAUGAAAGAGAAUGAGUUUUCUUAUGUUUAAAUUUGAAAUAUGUGCAUAAAAGUAAUAGUAAAUGCUAUGUAAAAUAGAUAAAUUUAUUCAAUAUUUAGCACUUAUCACACCCCCAAAUCUACAUUUUGCUAGUCCUCAAGCAAAAUAAAACUAACUCACUUUCGCAGGAAUCGUAAUUGCAUUUACGAUAUGCAAUAAGGCUUUAAACCCCUAGGUGGCCUUAGUGGACGAGUUUUGUCUCGUGAGGAUUUCCGGCACAGAUACCCACAAAUUGCUGUCUAAAGAAUUUAUUUUAUUAUUUUAUAAAAUCUAAUUUCAAAUGCAUUAAUGCUAAGAAUUUCACAAGCACACAAAGUUUUAUUUACUAAGUCAGCCCAAAUUGUAGGUCAGUAUCCAACUUAAGUUGAAAUUUAUUAAGUUUCCGUUAGAAAGUUGUAAGGCUUAUUUAUACUUGGGUGCUCAGUGAUAUCUGGACCAUACACAAGCUAAGAUUUUAGAUUUCCCAAAAUACUGCUAAAGUUAGUAGUUUCCAAGAAUUGGUCAAAUAAGACCUAUUCACUGAUUCAAAAUCAUCCUAUCUUGCAGGAUUUCGAGAGUUGUAGAUGUUUACUUUAAUACCUCAUGGGCUUUAUCUGUAAUAUUUCAAUUUACUCAAAUUUUUUACAACGACGGCUUUCACACUAUCGUCUUUUUCAAGGUCAAUAUUAUAUUCUCUUUCUUCUUUUUUUUAUCCUUAAUGCUUUUAUUUAUUUAUUUAUUUUGUAUUUAUAAAUAAUUAUGUACUUUUACUCUUGUAAUGAUUCCUCCGUGUAUCGAGCAUUCAGUCAACACUCCCACACCAGAUGGCAUAAGGUGUUGGGCAUCAAGACUCCCCUACGGAUCUAUGCUCGAGUUCCUCAUACAAGCCCGCUGACCUUUGACAAUAGGUAGCCCUUUUCGAUGUACCUGACUAAAUUCACUUUUUUUUAAAUAAAUAUGGGAUAAUAGUGAAUUAGAUAGGAAUGAUUCAUCAACACUCAAGGUUGCUACUAGACUUAACAACAUAAUGUUGAACCUAACCCUUAGAAGUGCAGGCCAUGUGUGUUGUGAAAUUCCAAAGUAAAAAAUUAUCUUACAACUCAUUAAAAGAACUUUUAAUAAAAAGAACUCAAAUUGACUCACUCCUGACUAGUUAUUGGGCUUUUUUAGAUUUUAUAUACUUUGUAUGUUUAUCAUUUCAGCACUAAAGCAUAGAAAUUAGUUUUUUUUUAAGAUGAAAUAUUUAAAAUUAUGAAAAAUUUCUUCAAAAAUUCGAAUCCUAUACCCCCCAACCUAGACCAGACAUUGUACUCAAUGUUUUUAUUAUUAUUUUUAUUUUUUUAAAUAUUAUAUUAUUAUUAUUUAUUAUUUUUUUAUAUAUUUUAGUUUGGACGAAAAUAUGAUGCAGAUGGAGGAUAGAAGCAUUUUACCGUAGUUGCAUCAGUAAUAUGAGGGAUCCCGUUAAGAAAAUAAUAAUAAAAAAAUAUGACAAGAAAAUAUGCAAAAAAUAACCUACGAGAAUUAGGUUGCCUCCCAACAAGCGCUAAGUUUAACGUCUUCAGCCAGAUGCAGCGCAUCCUUAUCAAAUCAUACCGGAUUCAUGCUGAGUUCUCCAAGGAAGAAAAUUUGUGGGAGAUUGAUUGUCGGGCAAGGAGUUGACUGCUUCUAUGGCCUUGUCUAUAGCAGAGUUAAAAUGGGCCAAGCAUGUUUUCAGAGGGUGAUCUGUCAAAAUAUAGGAAAGUUUUUCUUUUACAAGAUCGUCCAUUUUAUCUAUUAGGAAACACUCAACUUUCUUUGCGGGUUGAUCAGAGGCACGAAAUAUAUUUAACUUAACCUUCAUAUUUCCAAAGGAUAUAUUCAUCACCCCAGUUCUACAAUUUAUACUCGCAUUGGCUGUAGCUAAAAAGGGCUGCCCAAGGAUCACGAAGAUUUGUUUCUUAGGAUUAGGCUCAUGUUUCAUAUCAAGGAUACUAAAAUCUACUGAAAAAAUAGAAUUUAUCUACCUUGACAAGAAUAUCUUCAAUUAUCCCACGUGGUGUUUUUACAGAUCGAUCAGCCAAUUGAAGGGAUACCGAGGUUGGUUUUAACUCACCUAACCCAAGUUUCUCAUAAACUGAGUAAGGUAAAAGGUUGACACUUGCCCCUAGAUCUAAAAGUGCUCGAUCAAUGAAAUUAUUUUCUAAGACACAGGAGAUGGUGGGAGCACCAGGAUCUUUGAAUUUUGGAAGGAUGUUGUGUUGGAGAAUAGAACUCACUUGCUCAGUUAGGAGGACCUUUUUAGGCACAUGUGUCCUAGAUUUUCGCUUUUGGGUACAAAUGUCUUUGAGAAAUUUGGCAUAGGAGGAAACUUGUCUAAUAGCAUCAAGAAGUGGAAGAUUGAUUUUGACUUGUUUGAAAACCUCCAUCAUCUCCUCUAGUGAAGUUUCCUUUUUGCCAAAGGGAGAGGGUGAAUUAAGAGCUUCAGGAAAUGGAACUUUUGGAAUGUGAGUUUUGGCAGAAGGUGGAAGAGCUGAAGAAGAAGAAGGUUUUGGAUUUUCAUAUGAUACAUUUUGCUUCUCUUCUUUACCUUCGUUAUUGUUUUCCUCCCCAAUCUUAUUGUCUACUACACGUCCACUCCUUAGGGUAGUCAAAGCAUUGGCUUGUUCAUGAUGAAUUGUAUUUAGUUGAUUUUCUUGAGCUAUGUAUUGUCCCCUAGGAUUACUCACUGGUUGGCUUGGAAGCUUUCCUUCCUCUCGCUUGUUCAGUGCAUUAGCUAGUUGCCCCAUUUGGAAUUCUAGCUUGGCGAUAGAUUGCGUGUGAGAGUGCACCAAUUGUAUAAUGGUUUCCAAACCUUGAAGGGAGGUCAAUACUUUCUCCUCAAAGGCGGUUUUUCUAUAGGGUGGAGGAGGAGUGUGUUGAAAUUGAGUCGAAGGACGGUAGGGAUGAAUAUUUUGGAAUAGUUGAAAGUUUUGGGAAUAAGGCUGGGAAGUAUUGGAAGUCUGCUGCUUCCAAGAAAAAUUUGGAUAGUUGCGCCACCCCAGGUUAUAAGUAUUAGAAUACGGAUUAUUACCCGGUCGGGACUGUGCUUGGGCAGCAUUAACUUGUUCUUGCACAAAUUCAGAGAAUUGAGCUGCCGAAGGGCAUUCAUGAAUAGGGUGAGACGGGCUAGAACAAAGAGCACAAACUUGUGCUUGGGAAAAGUUUGGAAGCUGUUCUCUAGACAUUAGCUGGUCCAAUUUGCGAGACAGUGCAUCUACUUUGUCGGAUAGACCUAUGGACUGGUUAACUUCAUAUAUGGUCCCUUUUCUUUGAGAACUCGGGGGUGCUUGACGAGCGGAGGAGGCAUGGUGGAGGAAAUUUUCAUUAAGGUUUUCAAACAAUUGCCAUGCGUCAUAGUCACUUUUAAGCCUGAAAGUUCCUCCGCAUGCGGCAUCGAUCAUCUGACGGUUUCGUUCAGUCAAUCCGUCAUAGAAAUACUGCACUAGCUGCCAUUUAGGUAUUUGGUGAUGCGGGCAUUUUCGGAGUAAAUCUCUAAAUUUUUUCCAAGUUUCAUGAAAUUCUUCCCCGUCAGAUUGGAAGAAGCUCGUGAUAGCACGCCUAAUUUGGUUUGUUCUUCCUAUGGAAAAAUAUUUCUUCAGGAAUUCAUGUUGCAUUUGAGCCCAAGAGAGAAUGGAAUUGGCUUCUAAUGAAUGGAGCCACUGUUUAGCUCUAUCCUUAAGGGAGAAAGAAAAUAGCCUAAGUUUCAGAGCAUCAUUAGUGAAGUUCUGAAUUUUGACAGUAGUGCAGAUCUCAAGAAACUCAUCUAAAUGUUUGUAUGGGUCUUCAUUGUUAAGUCCAUAAAAAGAGGGAAGCAUUUGGAUGACACUAGACUUAAUCUCAAACUGUACAGCAGCAGUGGUAUCAAGUAGUCGAAUACAAGAUGGAGAGGUAUAAAUAGAAGGAGUAAAGUACUCCUUUAAUAGCUUGGGUUGUUCUUCAGCCAUCUCGAUAGGUGGAGCAGAUCCUAUGGUUCUAUAGGUGCGGAUUUGAGCUCGAAGGGCCCGAAUAGAAUGCUCUAUUUCAGAAUCAAAAGGUACUAAUUCAGGAGAUCUGGAACGACACCCUAGCAUACACUAAUACUCUUCUGAUCUGUCAAGUACAGUCAAGCAUGCACUAAAAAGAAAAAUAUAUCAAAUCCUUGUAUUUUUCCUAAAAUCACUAGACAGCUUCUAACUGGUUUGAAGAGGGCACCUAAGCCUCCAACCCGGUCUAAUAAACUGAGUUGACCAGGUAAGCUCCCAGGUAAGUGGGGGGUCACGAUGCGUUCGCAAAGGUCCCACUUAAAAACUACUUGCCUCGAACAGAUGAACUGUCUCCCUUAUAGGGACAAAGCUUGCCUAGACAUCAACUGAGCCAUAGAGCGAAAUUGGUGCAACUUUCGGUGAUCUUCGUCCUAUUGAGCUCGAAUGUCCCUAGGGGCCAACGUCUAAUUGAUUUUAAUUAAAAUGAUAGCUAUGUGAGAAUUGAUUCACCUAAUUUGGGCAAGAAUCUGGUGAUGAAAUCUAGUUCUUAUCUUGUUGGGGUGAUUGUCCUUACUAUGUGCGGAUUAAUUGGUGUAUGUGUAUCAAGCAUGCAUUCACACUUUUACUGAAAUUAAAAUCAAACAAUCACCACAAAAUUUCAAGCAAACUAGAAAUUAAUUUAAAUUAGCAAAGUUCAGAUGUUACCAAAAAAAAUUUCUCCAACAAUUUUUUUAAAGCAAACCUCUACAGCAUUCCUUUUCAGCAGUUUCCUUUUUGAUCGUCCCAAAUUUCUUCUUUGAUUCCUGAUCGAAUAAUACCAAAAGAAAAAUCAAAAGUUAGUAAGAGAGAAAAAAAGGGAUAAGCAAAGUAACAAAAAUAGAAAAUAUUUUUAUUUUAUUUUAGAUAUAUAUGUAUAUAUUUUUUAAAAAAAAAUCUAUAAAAGAAAAACAAUUAUGCUAGCAAUCUCCGGCAACGGCGCCAAAAAUUGAUAGUCAACUUUAAAGACCACGCAAUAGCACGUAUCUAGUAGAAUAGUGAUUACGGAUAUCGAUCCACAGAGAUUGGAGUACAGUUGUUUUCUUAAAAAAAAAUAUAUAUUUAAAAGAAAAAGUUUGUGAAGAAAAUUAAACUAAGAAAUUUAAUAAAAAAAUACAAUUAAAAGGAUAUCAGUUGAGAGAACCUAGGGCAAAAAAUUCACCACUAACAUCGGAACAAGGGUUAACUGUAUUUUAAUUUAUUCUUGGAUUAACAUGCAAAUUGGCUACAAGCCUAAUAAGCAUUCAGAUAAAAAUUCACAAAAGUAAUUUAGGAAUAAUCCAUCUUUAGUUGGCAUGCAAUGUCUACCAUAAUCUAAGGUGGCAGCACAUUGCAUCUUUCUUAAGUAUGAAAUAUCUGAUUUUUACUUAGUAAUCAUGAAGAACAAUUGUAUAAACACCAUACUUAAAAUCACAGAAUUCAAAUAUGGAAUUAAAGAAAUAUUCACUAAGAUCAAAGAAGUUUAUACAAUUCCAAGAACAUAAAUCAAAAAUACAAAACCCUUGGCCCUUUGUUAGGGCUGCAUCCAGCCCUAGUGAAGAGAUCAGGCUUUCAUGCAGUGGUGGACGGUAGCAGCAGCACAACAGCGGGCUCCCAUGUCUUCCUUCUCCCUUCCUGGAUUCUCCCCUCUCCCGUGGCAAUUCCCAGACUAAUUGAAAUGACUCGAAUGAGUCAAGAUUGGUGAGAAAGAAUGGGUGAGAAAGGAUUGCCUCCUCUGUUCACGCCUGGCCCUUUUAUAGGCUGCAAACUUCAUCUCUCCUCUUCCGUAUUUCCCAUGGAGAUAAGGAUGGAUCGAAGCUGGAUGGAGCUGAGGAUUUGUUGCUUGAUCUUCGAAGGCGUUGUAGAUGCUGGCUCUAGUCCCGAUGGCUUGAACAACCCGUGAAGAUAAGCUCAGGUUUUGUUUUGCUGUAACAGGAGAUCCAGCGAAGAUUUGAUGCGGAUGCUGGGGACCAGAGGGAAAGAUGUGGAUUGGCUCACGGAAAGCUGGAGACGGAGACGUUGUGAAGAUACGAUGGGAAGAGGAUGAGGAUGCUGUUUUGUUGCUGGGAGAAUCUCGGCUGAUAGCUGGGAGGUUUGGGAUGAAGUUGUUCUAAAAAAGGGGAGCUGGAGCGCAAUCAAUCCGAACGAGAUAUGAGGAAGAAAUUCGGGAUGAGCAUGGGAGCGUGGAGUUGGGAGGUUAGGAAGAUGCUGGGAAGGAUGAGGAUGAAUUGGUUGUUCCUAAGAAGGGAUAAGGAUGCAAGCGGUUGAAGAUGCGGCGAGGAUGGGCUUAAUCCAUGGGCGAUGGAAUUUUGUUCCGAAUGGGAUAAGAUCUAGGAAGAUGAUGCUGGGAUAAGGAUGAUCACGAAGUACCCGAACGCGGAAGGCACUGGGAGCUGAUCCCUUGAAUCGCAGAUGCGGGGAAGAUGCUGGGAUUUGGGUUCAUCCCGCGACUCUAUUCUUUGAAUGUCGUAGAAUAGGGGAGGAUGACGUGGAAGCUUUGGAUGUGGAAGGGAAGAACGUGGCUGGGAGUUUGGAUGAAGAAGGGAUCGGAAGGAGGUUUCUUGGGAGAUGGCUAGUUGCAAACGGGAUUAGAUUUGUUCCUUGGACAUGGGAGUUUGGUCACGGUUGGCUGUGCUGUGCGGGAAGAAUAGAAUCGUGAGGCAUGGCGAUCGGCUGGGAACAUGUCCAUUUGGAUGAUGGUUGAUCCAUAGGAUAUUGGUUUGAAUCCUUGAGGGGGUUUAGAUUCGGACAUGGGGAGGAAAUGGGAGAGCUUGGGAUAGCCAUAUAUCGAAGAGGAAAUUGGGAAGUGGUGAGACUUGUUUUUGAUGGGUGAGUGUGUGAAGAGAAGGAAGAUUUGAAUGGUUGAUUGCACAUGAAAGCUGAUCCAUGAUACAUGUUCAACGUGGGAGAAUAUUAGAACAUAAACGAUUGAACUCGAUUGGAUGUGAAAGGAAUAGAUGAGUUGGGCUGAAUCAGAAAUCUGAGAGGGUCUGAUUCAUAGGGUGCGUGUUAUUCGGGUUCAGGGAUCAUCCGAAAUGAGUUUGACUCGUCCUGCAUAUAUUAGAUUCGACCUGCAUAGAUUGGACAUGACCAAUAAAAUUAAUCAAACUUGAAUUACUUCUAAUAAUUUACUAAAAUGCAAUGAUGAAAGAGAAUGAGUUUUCUUAUGUUAAAUUUGAAAUAUGUGCAUAAAAAUAAUAGUAAGUGCUAUGU
rnacentral:lncRNA from 1 species